rnacentral:rRNA from 1 species
AUGCAAGUCGAGCGAGAAGGUUAAGAUGGAUUCUUCGGAUGAUAGAUUAACUGGAAAGCGGCGGACGGGUGAGUAACGCGUGGGUAACCUACCCCAUACACAGGGAUAGCCAUUGGAAACGAUGAUUAAUACCUGAUAACACAUAAUGGUCGCAUGACUAUGAUGUCAAAGAUUUAUCGGUAUGGGAUGGACCCGCGUCUGAUUAGCUAGUUGGUGAGGUAAAAGCUUACCAAGGCGACGAUCAGUAGCCGACCUGAGAGGGUGAUCGGCCACACUGGAACUGAGACACGGUCCAGACUCCUACGGGAGGCAGCAGUGGGGAAUAUUGCACAAUGGGCGCAAGCCUGAUGCAGCAACGCCGCGUGAGCGAAGAAGGUCUUCGGAUCGUAAAGCUCUUUUCUUAGGGAACAAAAAUGCAGGUACCUAAGGAAUAAGCACC